AAUAUAUACGUAGUCUGCGACAUACA
rnacentral:rRNA from 1 species